rnacentral:rRNA from 1 species
UACGUAGGGGGCUAGCGUUGUCCGGAAUCAUUGGGCGUAAAGCGCGCGUAGGCGGUCCGGCAAGUCCGCCGUGAAAGUCGGGGGCUCAACCCUCGAAUGCCGGUGGAUACUGUCGGGCUAGAGUGCGGAAGAGGCGAGUGGAAUUCCUGGUGUAGCGGUGAAAUGCGCAGAUAUCAGGAGGAACACCAAUUGCGAAGGCAGCUCGCUGGGACGUAACUGACGCUGAGACGCGAAAGCGUGGGGAGCAAACAGG